rnacentral:lncRNA from 1 species
CCAAAACCCCACAACAUAUCAAAAUUAUUCUACACCUCAACUACUUCAAAUUGGAGCUUUCAUGUGCAAAUUAGUGUCUCAAAUCAUCAUCUUAUAUUUUGGGGAACUGAGGUAAGGUUCAAGACUUGGUUUUCUCUCCUUUCUUCCUCUGUCCAGCGAGCUCUAAGUCUUAAUUCCAAUUUCUUAAUUUUUCUAUUGUUGUACGUGGUGUUUUGAGGAAAUGCAAACUCCUGGGUUUGAGGGAGAUCAAGUUCAUAACCUUUCAAUUAACCAUUCAGGAAAAAUAAGAAAGAGCUUUCAAAGUUUUGGAGUUUAAAGAAUUGGGUUGGUGAUUUUAGAGAAAUUUAUGUUGAAACCCGUAUUCCUGGAUAUACUCUCACUAAAAAGGUAACUCCUCUUUCUCUGUAACUCCGAUUGAGAUUCCGUCUGUUUCUAUGGAAAGCUGACGUUUUUCCCGUCGUUUCGGCACCUGAUUUGUAAAUUAUGGUUUAGGGAUGAGCUCUAUGGACGUGUUUGAAGUUGGAGUUCUGAAGCUGAUUAUGCAGAAAAAAUCAGUCAUGGAAGUUGCGUAUUUGAGCGACACCAACAGACGUUUAAGAGCGUGUGGAACAACUCGGAAUUGCUAAACAUCCCAGGUGGGUUCCUUUAGAAGCUUAACUUUUAGAUUAGUUAGCACCUUUAGGUUCCCCAAAUUCAAUAUAUGUAUGAUAACAUUAGUAUUAGUUAGGAAAUUAGUCUCCCCAAAAUUAUGCACGACAACAAUAGAGAAAAUUAGAAAAUAAUUGUGUGAGAAUGUUUAAUCCCAAAACCAUCUCCAUUCUAAUUAUAUAAUAAUAUUUUAGUUGCUUAUGAUUGGACAUGAUUGGGAUUGUAGGUGGAAACUGAUAAACUCUUUUAAAAGUAAAAACUGAGAAUUGAACUGGUAUUCUCGCAUACCGAGCAUCUUGCUUCGCUAAGCGAGCGUAUCAGAUUAGGACUCUGUAGAAAUCAACAUUUUAAAUAAAAAUCUACUCGUUUUAUAUCCCUGACUAUUCUGGAAUAUUUCGUAAGCAGCGUAAUAAUAUUAUGUGAUUAGAAUGUUUAUCACGCUCAGGAAAUUAGGUUCAGGAAUUAGGACAGUUAGAAUUACCCCGGGAAGGUUUUCUUUCUUUUGGGUAGGAUAACCAUUCAGGAUUAGAAAUUAUGUUUCAGAAUAUAUCAGGAUGUUUGGUCAUUAGUACNNNNNNNNNNNNNNNNNNNNNNNNNNNNNNNNNNAAUUAUUAUGUGUGUUACACCUUUAUUGCUUUAUUAUCAUAUUAUGAAAACUUCAAGAUUAUGUCAUGAUUAGACUAUUAGAUAUUCAGGUUCAGGUUAAAGUUAGAAACUAUUAGUUUCAGUUGCCCCGGUGUAGUCACCAGUAGUUGGGCAGUAGGAGCUCACUGAGGCUUAGUAGUCUCAUCUCACGACUUUCAAUUUUUUUAGGUAAACAGGUUAACCGGAGCAAGGACCAGGCAGAAACUGAUGAUCGAGGUUGAGCUUGGAUUAUCGGAUUAGAAGACUACCGUCUUCUUUUUUGUUUUUUGUUAAUCUGUUAUUAAGAUUUCAGUCAUCAUUUCAGCUGUGUUGUAUUGAUUAUCACAUUAUUCUCGUGAUAAUUUGUAAUUCGAUUAAUUAUUUUGUAAAUUUUAUGUACUCAGAUUCAAUUAUUAAUAUCUCGAC